GAUUUGGCUAAGUCUUACAUAAGAUUUCCCCUCCUUGAUCACGUAAUCCUGCUUCACGGGUCAAGAAUGCAGGGAUUUGGCUUAACCAGAUAGCAAUUGUAUGCUCUAUAAACAAAGGAGUUUAUUUGCAGAAUUGCCUCAUGGGGUGUACCUGAAGAUAGAAGCCAGUUGCUGUUUCAUUCCCAUGCUGAAAAUUUUGUUUUAAUCAUUACAACAGCCUAAAAAGGCAACGAAUUAGCCUCAACCAAGGCACUCAUCGACCAACUUGUCCCAAUCCAACCCACCCACUGGACCCCUUUUGUCAUGCUGCUUCCAUAUUCAGCCAAUGCAUCAAUAUUAUGCAGCAUAUACCUAGGUAAUAUCUGACUUGAUGAUCUGGGCAAUCUCAACAAAUAAAAAUAAAGGCUUGAUUUGCUCCUUCCCGUCUAUGAAGGGUUAUCCAUGUCACCAAGUAACUAGGCUAGCCUUUGACAAUCAAGAGCAAGCAUACCCAACAACACCCAUUUGGGCUACUUUCUUCGGAGUCAAUAGAAAGAGCACCAUCUUCCACCUCAAAG
rnacentral:lncRNA from 1 species